GACGAACGCUGGCGGCGUGCUUAACACAUGCAAGUCGAACGGAAAGGCCCCUUUGGGGGUACUCGAGUGGCGAACGGGUGAGUAACACGUUAGUAACCUCCCCUUGCCUUCGGGAUAACUUCAUGAAACUGGGUCUAAUACCGAAUAGGAAUCCUUGCUGCAUGGUGGGGGUUGGAAGGCUUCGGCGGUUUGGGGUGGACUUUCGGCUUAUCAGCUUGUUGGUGGGGUGGUGGCUUACCAAGGCUUUGACGGGUAGCCGGCCGGAGAGGGCGACCGGCCCACUUGGGACUGAGAUACGGCCCAGACUCCUACGGGAGGCAGAAGUGGGGAAUAUUGCACAAUGGGCGGAAGCCUGAUGCAGCAACGCCGCGUGCGGGAUGACGGCCUUAGGGUUGUAAACCGCUUUCAGCAGGGGCGAAGCUUGUGGUGACGGUACCUGCAGAAGAAGCACCGGCUAACUACGUG
rnacentral:rRNA from 1 species